UAUCUAACCAUAGUCACGUCCAUUUCUGGAACACUCAUGGAGGAUUUUACACCUAUGCUAGUGGCAUACGUUAUUUCUUUUAGUUUUCAAAACAAUCAUAAUUAGAUUUUAUCACCUGUAUUAAUAAGGAAACUGUCAAAGCGAGUGAUGUGCAGACUUUGGACUGGAACACGGGUCUUUCUGAUCCCUAUCUCUGUUCCCUCCCCAGCCUAUCCUUCCAAAUGUCCAGGAGACUCUUCCUCAGUCUUGAGUUUCCCGCUGAUGUUACCACUGUCUUUGUUUCUGGAGAGGAAAACAAGUCUAAACUUACUUUCCAGUUGGAAAUGGAAUGGAGAGUUAACGUUGGAAGCCGGGAGAGUCUGUCCUGUGAUGAAGCGGUCUCUGAGCCACUUCCAUGGGGACGUCACGUCACUGUCUGGGCCCCUUGCACAGCCUGUGCACAGCAUUCCUAGGAGAGAAUUCAGCAGUGCAGCAUCCUCUCCGAGCUCUAUGAGUUGAUCGGCUUCCACCGCAAGUCCGCCUUCUUCAAGCGGGUGGUCCCCGUGCAGCGCGCGGCCCCCGGCAUUACGGAGCCUGGCGGGAAGGCCUGCUACCGACUCCUUCUGCAGAAGCUUCCUGGCUACAGUCUGUCGCUGGAUCUGCAGGACUUCAGCAAAGGUGUUGGAACUAAAACAUUGCUUCAGUCCCAUUAACCAUGCCUGGUUUGGGCCCUGCUGUCCUGUCUCAUCAGGGUGAAUUCUGAUUCGUUUAGAACAGGGCUCAGCAGACUUUUUCUGUCAAGGGCUUGGGAGUAAAUAUUUCAGGGUCUGCAAACCUCCUGAUCUCUGGUGCAGCUGCUCAGCUCUGCUGUUCAGACGCCAGAGCAUCCGGACAUUCCACACACCCACAGAGCUUUAUUAACAGCGGUGGCUGCGGCUGGAUUCAGUGUAUGAACUGCAGUUUGUCCCCACAGCCUCCUCACUAUUGACGCCUGCACCAGAGCAUGCAUUUGCGACAAUGGGUGAACCUGCACUGACACGUCAUCAUCACCCAGAGCCCAGACUUGACACUAGGAUUUACACUUGGUGGUGUGCACUCUGUGGGUUUGGACAGAUGUAAAAUGACAUGUAUCCACCGUCACAGCAUCAUACAGAGUAGUCUGUCUUAGUGACCUUAAAAUGCUCCGUGCUGCACCUCAUUCAUUGCUCCUUCCCCUCUAGCCUCUGACAGCCACUGAUCUUUUAGUCUCUGUGGUUUUCCCUUUCCCAGAACACCAUACAGUUGGAAUCAGACAGUUGCGGAACCUUCCCAGAUUGGCUUCUUUCCCUUAGUAAUAUGCAUUUAAGGUUCCUCCAUGUCUUUCCAUGCCUUGAUAACUCAUUUCAUUUUAGCACCAAAUAAUAGUCCAUUUUCUGGCUGGACCACAGUUAAUCCAUUCACCUACUGAAGAACAGCUUAGUUGCUUCUGAGUUCUGGUGAUUAUGAAUAAAGCUGCUAUUAACAUCUGUAUGCA